UGAUAGCCUUUCUCCUAAUUCAAUAUGCAGCUCCAGAAAUAGGUUUUCUGUUCCAAUGGAGAUCUUUCUUAUCAUGGUAUACCCUUAUUUUUUCAUCGUUAACUAUUCUAUCACAUGCCAUAUUUUACAUUGUUUGGAUUGUGAAUGGAGACCAAUGGAGCAUUUCUGAUGCGCAAUGGGAAAAGCUAAUUGGUUUCGAAAGAGAUCAGUCGCCUUUCUUUCCAUCUGUAAUGUAUUUCUUGGUAGUACAAGUACUAGCAGCUUUGGUUGCGUUAUUUGAGAUACGCGGUAAAAUUUUUGGUGUGGAUUCACGGAGAAAUACAUUUUGGGGGCAUCUAUAUUCCUUUGUACUGCAGAUAGGUUUGUUAUGCAGGACACCUCUCAUAUUACCAAUUUUCUAAUUAUCUUUAUAUAUAUAUAUAUAUUCUGUUUCCUGUCUAUGUUUCAUAUACUUUUGGAUUCACCCUUCUUUUCUUUUAAAAGAAUUACUUAGCACUUUAGUUAAUCACUAUACAUCCUAGUUCAAUAGACCAUGAGGCUUCUUGUUUGUUUCUGAAAGUAUCAAAACUUAAAUUCUUCUUGGUUGUCCAGUGCAUAAUGAAUCCUUUACUGAUAU